rnacentral:rRNA from 1 species
UAAAGUUAAGUGAAACCGCGAACAGCUCAUUAAAUCAGUCUUCGUUUACUGGACGGAAGGGCGACCGUAGASGGAUAACUGCGGAAAUCCUGGAGCUAAUACAUGCCAUUGACGACGCGACGAUCGAAAGAUCGGAGCGCAGCCUUUAUUAGACCGAAAGUGUUCGUCGCUGGUUUCCAGCUUCGUUCCACUGGUGACUCCGAGUAACCGACAGUUGAUCGCAAGGUCUUCGAACCUGCGACGCAUCUUUCAAGGGUCUGCCUCAUCAACUAGACGGUUUGCAAACAGCCGACCGUGGUGACGACGGGUGACGGGGAAUUAGGGUUCGAUUCCGGAGAGGGAGCCUGAGAGAUCGCUACCACA